AGUGAACACUGGCGGUAGGCCUAACACAUGCAAGUCGAACGGCAGCACAGGAGAGCUUGCUCUCUGGGUGGCGAGUGGCGGACGGGUGAGGAAUACAUCGGAAUCUACUCUGUCGUGGGGGAUAACGUAGGGAAACUUACGCUAAUACCGCAUACGACCUACGGGUGAAAGCAGGGGACCUUCGGGCCUUGCGCGAUUGAAUGAGCCGAUGUCGGAUUAGCUAGUUGGCGGGGUAAAGGCUCACCAAGGCGACGAUCCGUAGCUGGUCUGAGGGGUUGAUCAUCCACACUGGGACUGAGACACGGUCCAGACUCCUACGGGAGGCAGCAGUGGGGAAUAUUGGACAAUGGGCGCAAGCCUGAUCCAGCCAUACCGCGUGGGUGAAGAAGGCCUUCGGGUUGUAAAGCCCUUUUGUUGGGAAAGAAAUCCAGCUGGCUAAUACCCGGUUGGGAUGACGGUACCCAAAGAAUAAGCACCGGCUAACUUCGUGCCAGCCGCCGCCGUAA
rnacentral:rRNA from 1 species